rnacentral:rRNA from 1 species
GCGCAGCAGGCGCGAAAACUUCACACUGUGCGAAAGCACGAUGAGGGAAUCCCAAGUGCUUGCACGUAAGUGUAAGCUGUUUCUCUGUUUAAAACGCAGAGAGAGUAAGGGCUGGGUAAGACGGGUGCCAGCCGCCGCGGUAAUACCUGCAGCCCAAGUGGUGACCGUUAUUAUUGGGCCUAAAACGUCCGUAGCCGGUUUAAUAAAUGCCUGGGUAAAUCGUGUAGCUUAACUAUACGAAUUCCGGGUAGACUGUUAAACUCGAGACCGGGAGAAGUUAGAGGUACUCCUGGGGUAGAGGUGAAAUUCUGUAAUCCUAGGGGGACCACCAGUGGCGAAGGCGUCUAACUAGAACGGGUCUGACGGUGAGGGACGAAGCCCUGGGGCGCAAACGGGAUUAGAUA